rnacentral:rRNA from 1 species
CAGCCGUAAACAAUGUGCGUUAGGUGUGUCGGUAACCACGCGUUACUGAUGCGCCGAAGAGAAAUCGUGAAACGCACCACCUGGGAAGUACGGUCGCAAGGCUGAAACUUAAAGGAAUUGGCGGGGGAGGCACCACAACAGGUGGAGCCUGCGGUUUAAUUUGGAUUCAACGCCGGACAUCUCACCGGAUAAGACAGCUGAAUGAUUGUCAAUCUGAAGGUUUUACAUGACUAGCUGAGAGGUGGUGCAUGGCGUAGACGUCU